UACGUAGGGGGCAAGCGUUGUCCGGAAUCAUUGGGCGUAAAGCGCGCGUAGGCGGCUACUUAAGUCAGACGUGAAAAACCUGGGCUCAACCGAGGUAUUGCGUUUGAAACUGGGUAGCUUGAGGACAGGAGAGGAUAGUGGAAUUCCUAGUGUAGCGGUGAAAUGCGUAGAUAUUAGGAGGAACACCAGUGGCGAAGGCGACUAUCUGGCCUGUACCUGACGCUGAGGUGCGAAAGCUGGGGGAG
rnacentral:rRNA from 1 species